rnacentral:lncRNA from 1 species
AGAGGUCGUGGCGGUUGUGGUUGAGAGUGGUUCCGCAUGGAUGAGGGAAUGAAGAAGAGGAAUAGUAGCGUCCUUUUCUUUUUCUUUCAUUUUCCUUUCUUUUUUUUAGUUUCUUUUUAGCAGAAAAAAAGGUGAUUAUUGAGUGUGUUGGAGAGAGUAUUUGAGUGGGUCUUUAUGAGAGCAGACAUGUAACGUUUUC